UGCAGACUGAAUGGUCCACCACCAGUGUUAUUUGUCUAUCCUUGGAGUAGAUCCAUCAUUUUACAAAAAGAAAACCAGGAUUUCAGUAGAGAAAACACUCAACUUGGAGUCAAGCCUACUGAGUCUAAUUGUUGAUGUUCGCCUAAAAAUACAGUGACGUAUCUGCCAGGACAGAAUAACGCCUGUUUUAAGCCUUUUAUGAGUUUGGUACAUGGAUUUUAAUUAAAAACCACUUUGCAGCUGCAA